AGGCUUCCAGCAGAAAGUGUGGCCUGGAUUAAAGGUGUGCCUUCCAGUGUCAAGAGCUGAAUUAAAGGCGUGUUAUCUUCCAACCUCAAGAUUCGAAUCAAAGGAGUCUGGGUGACCUGGAAAUGAACAAGCAGCUUCCCCACAACAAGAAGGGACCGCAGACACAUCUCAUUGGGCGUUGCUGCUGUCCGCCAGGAAAUUGUAAUGACUGUCCCAGCACCCCUUGGUCCUGAGGGAUGUUAUUGGAGGGGGAACUUAGGGAAUCCUGC